UAGCUGCGAAAUAAAUGGUGACAGUGGAAGAUGCGCUAAACCUUGAAGGCCCAGUUUUACAGUGGAGGAUGUGGAGUUUACAUCAACGUUAACGAGCACAAUUGGUCCAUUGAAGAGAAACUUGCUGUGAGAAAAGGAUUGGCUGAAUUAAAGGAUGAUUAGCAACAAUACGAAAGUAAUGGCGUGCCUAAAACUAAAGUGGAGGUGUAGAAGCCGGAGCUAUCGCUAAACAUAGCAUAGUACACAGGAUUGUGCCACAGCAAAGAACUGUCUUGUUCAGAUGACCGAAGAGCUGAAGCUGAGAAACCCAGCUUCCAGAUUCUCAGUAACAAUACCGUCUAUCGCACAGACUUCAUUAACUAUGGCUCCAGGAUGGAGAUGUGAGAUUGAACUCAAUCCAGGAUGUAUUUACGUUCCAGAACUGAGAUAUUUUCAUCCAUGCAAGAAAUUUCUUGUUGUUACAGACAGAGGAGAGGCAAAAAUAUCAU